rnacentral:rRNA from 1 species
GUAGGUGGCAAGCGUUGUCCGGAAUUAUUGGGGCGUAAAGCGCGCGCAUGCGGUUCUUUAAGUCUGAUGUGAAAGCCCACGGGCUCAACCGUGGAGGGUCAUUGGAAACUGGAGAACUUGAGUACAGAAGAGGAAAGCGGAAUUCCACGUGUAGCGGUGAAAUGCGUAGAGAUGUGGAGGAGCACCAGUGGCGAAGGCGGCUUUCUGGUCUGUAACUGACGCUGAGGCGCGAAAGCGUGGGGAGCAAACAGGAUUAGAUACCCUGGUAGUCCACGCCGUAAACGAUGAGUGCUAAGUGUUAGGGGGUUUCCGCCCCUUAGUGCUGCAGCUAACGCAUUAAGCACUCCGCCUGGGGAGUACGGCCGCAAAGGCUGA